AGGGCUACAUUCUGCUCUCAGCUACAUCAGUGUAAAUCCAGAGUCAGGUUACUGACUUCAGAAGGAAAGGGGAUGUGAAU
rnacentral:miRNA from 1 species